AUGCAAGUCGAACGGGAAAGGCCCUUCGGGGUACUCGAGUGGCGAACGGGUGAGUAACACGUGGGUGAUCUGCCCUGCACUCUGGGAUAAGCCUGGGAAACUGGGUCUAAUACCGGAUAGGACCACACACUUCAUGGUGAGUGGUGCAAAGCUUUUGCGGUGUGGGAUGAGCCCGCGGCCUAUCAGCUUGUUGGUGGGGUAAUGGCCCACCAAGGCGACGACGGGUAGCCGGCCUGAGAGGGUGACCGGCCACACUGGGACUGAGAUACGGCCCAGACUCCUACGGGAGGCAGCAGUGGGGAAUAUUGCACAAUGGGCGCAAGCCUGAUGCAGCGACGCCGCGUGAGGGAUGACGGCCUUCGGGUUGUAAACCUCUUUCAGUAGGGACGAAGCGAAAGUGACGGUACCUACAGAAGAAGGACCGGCCAACUACGUGCCAGCAGCCGCGGUAAUACGUAG
rnacentral:rRNA from 1 species